CCUACGGGAUGCACCAGUGGGGAAUAUUGCACAAUGGGCGCAAGCCUGAUGCAGCCAUGCCGCGUGUAUGAAGAAGGCCUUAGGGUUGUAAAGUACUUUGAGUUGGGAGGAAGGCGUUGAUGCUAAUAUCAUCAACGAUAGACGUUACCAACAGAAGAAGCACCGGCUAACUCCGUGCCAGCAGCCGCAGUAAUACGGAGGGUGCAAGCGUUAAUCGGAAUUACUGGGCGUAAAGCGCACGCAGGCGGUUGAUUAAGUUAGAUGUGAAAUCCCCGGGCUUAACCUGGGAAUGUCAUCUAAGACUGGUCAGCUAGACUCUUGUAGAGGGGGGUAGAAUUCCAUGUGUAGCGGUGAAAUGCGUAGAGAUGUGGAGGAAUACCGGUGGCGAAGGCGGCCCCCUGGACAAAGACUGAAGCUCAGGUGCGAAAGCGUGGGGAGCAAACAGGAUUAGAUACCCGGGUAGUC
rnacentral:rRNA from 1 species